UAAUACGUAGGUGGCAAGCGUUGUCCGGAUUUAUUGGGCGUAAAGCGCGCGCAGGCGGUCCUUUAAGUCUGAUGUGAAAUCUUGCGGCUCAACCGCAAGCGGUCAUUGGAAACUGGGGGACUUGAGUACAGAAGAGGAAAGUGGAAUUCCACGUGUAGCGGUGAAAUGCGUAGAGAUGUGGAGGAACACCAGUGGCGAAGGCGACUUUCUGGUCUGUAACUGACGCUGAGGCGCGAAAGCGUGGGGAGCAAACAGGAUUAGAUACCCUGGUAGUCCACGCCGUAAACGAUGAGUGCUAAGUGUUGGAGGGUUUCCGCCCUUCAGUGCUGCAGCUAACGCAUUAAGCACUCCGCCUGGGGAGUACGGUCGCAAGACUG
rnacentral:rRNA from 1 species